rnacentral:rRNA from 1 species
ACGGCUCAGUAACACGUGGAUAACCUGCCCUAUGCCCUGGGAUAACCUCGGGAAACUGAGAAUAAUACCGGAUAGAUCACAACGCCUGGAACGGUGUGUGGUUGAAAGGUUACGGCAUAGGAUGGGUCUGCGGCGUAUCAGGUUAUAGGGGGUGUAAUGGACCCCCUAGCCAUCGACGCGUACGGGUGUUGGGAGACAUAGCCCGGAGACGGAUUCUGAGACACGAAUCCGGACCCUACGGGGUGCAGCAGGCGCGAAAACUUCACACUGCAGGAAACUGUGAUGAGGGAACUCCAAGUGGAUGCACAUAGCGUAUCUCUUUUCUUUACUAUUAAUCGGUAUUGGAAUAAGGGCUGGGAAAGACCGGUGCCAGCCGCCGCGGUAAUACCGGCAGCUCGAGUGGUCGUCGCUUUUAUUGGGCCUAAAACGUCCGUAGCCGGUUUGGUAAAUCUGUGGGUAAAUCAACUAGCUUAACUAGUUGAAUUCUGCAGAGACUGCCAGACUAGGAACCGGGAGAGGUGUGGGGUACUCAAGGGGUAGGGGUAAAAUCCUGUCAUCCUUUGAGGACCACCAGUUGCGAAGGCGCCACACUAGAACGGAUUCGACGGUCAGGGACGAAGCCUAGGGGCACGAACCGGAUUAGAUACCCGGGUAGUCCUAGGUGUAAACGCUGAGAACUUGGUGUCGGGAGUCCGCAAUGGGCCCCCGGUGCCGGAGUGAAGAUGUUAAGUUCACUGCCUGGGGAGUACGGUCGCAAGGCUGAAACUUAAAGGAAUUGGCGGGGGAGCAC